CCUACGGGAGGCAGCAGUGAGGAAUAUUGGUCAAUGGGCGCUAGCCUGAACCAGCCAAGUAGCGUGAAGGAUGAAUGCCCUAUGGGUUGUCAACUUCUUUUAUAUGGGAAUAAAGUGCAGUAUGUAUACUGCUUUGCAUGUACCUUAUGAAUAAGUAUCGGCUAACUCCGUGCCAGCAGCCGCGGUAAUACGGAGGAUCCGAGCGUUAUCCGGUUUUAUUGGGUUUAAAGGGAGCGUAGGCGGGUUGUUAAGUCAGUUGUGAAAGUUUGCGGCUCAAACGUAAAAUUGCAGUUGAUACUGGCAUCCUGGAGUACAGUAGAGGUAGGCGGAAUUCGUGGUGUAGCGGUGAAAUGCUUAGAUAUCACGAAGAACUCCGAUUGCGAAGGCAGCCUGCUGGACUGUAACUGACGCUGAUGCUCGAAAGUGUGGGUAUCAAACAGGAUUAGAUACCCGAGUAGUC
rnacentral:rRNA from 1 species